rnacentral:ncRNA from 1 species
UCUGUGUCCACGUACUGACGUGGUCAAAAAAGGAAGCAGGUAUCAGUCCUGAGCGGUCCCGCCACUGUAUUUGGAGAGCCUUGAUUCGAUGUAGGAGCCGGCAUAAUUGCAGGUGAAAUGCAGAUCCAUUAGCGAAAGCUGAGAAGGAUGGAAUCAAGGUGAUGAUCCAUGAGCCAGGAGACUUACAUGGAA